rnacentral:rRNA from 1 species
ACCCGCACAAGCAGCGGAGCGUGUGGUUUAAUUCGAUGCUACACGAAGAACCUUACCAGGGUUUGACAUGCAAGUGUAGGAAUCUGAAAAGGGACCGACCCUUCGGGGAGCUUGCACAGGUGCUGCAUGGCUGUCGUCAGCUCGUGUCGUGAGAUGUUCGGUUAAGUCCGCUAACGAGCGCAACCCUCACUGUGUGUUAUAUGUGUCACACGGGACUGCCGGUUUUAAGCCGGAGGAAGGUGGGGAUGACGUCAAGUCAGCAUGGCCUUUAUGUCCAGGGCCACACACGUGCUACAAUGGACGGUACAGAGGGACGCAAGACCGCAAGGUGGAGCAAAUCCUCAAAACCGUUCUCAGUUCGGAUUGCAGGCUGCAAUUCUCCUGCAUGAAGCUGGAAUUGCUAGUAAUCGCAGAUCAGCUACGCUGCGGUGAAUACGUUCUCGGGCCUU